ACGCUCGACACCUACGGGAUGCAGCAGUCGGGAAUAUUGCGCAAUGGAGGAAACUCUGACGCAGUGACGCCGCGUAUAGGAAGAAGGUUUUCGGAUUGUAAACUAUUGUCGUUAGGGAAGAGAAAGGACAGUACCUAAGGAGGAAGCUCCGGCUAACUACGUGCCUGCAGCCGCGGUAAUCUGAGCGGGCUGGCAAGGC
rnacentral:rRNA from 1 species